rnacentral:rRNA from 1 species
GAUGAACGCUGGCGGCGUGCUUAACACAUGCAAGUCGAACGGAAAGGCUCCUGCUUGCAGGGGUACUCGAGUGGCGAACGGGUGAGUAACACGUGGGUGAUCUGCCCUGCACUUCGGGAUAAGCCUGGGAAACUGGGUCUAAUACCGGAUAGGACGAUGGUUUGGAUGCCAUUGUGGAAAGUUUUUCGGUGUGGGAUGAGCUCGCGGCCUAUCAGCUUGUUGGUGGGGUAAUGGCCUACCAAGGCGUCGACGGGUAGCCGGCCUGAGAGGGUGUACGGCCACAUUGGGACUGAGAUACGGCCCAGACUCCUACGGGAGGCAGAAGUGGGGAAUAUUGCACAAUGGGCGCGAGCCUGAUGCAGCGACGCCGCGUGGGGGAUGACGGCCUUCGGGUUGUAAACUCCUUUCGCUAGGGACGAAGCGCAAGUGACGGUACCUGGAGAAGAAGCACCGGCUAACUACGUG